CAAGUAAACCGGGUGACCGCCCUGAUACUAUCGGGGAGGAAAGUCCGAACUCCACUGGGCAGGAUGCUGGGUAACACCCAGGAGGGGCGACCCUACGGAAAGUGCCACAGAAAAUACACCGCCCCGAUUUUAUCGAGGCAAGGGUGAAAUGGUGAGGCAAGAGCUCACCAGCGGCUGGGUAACCAGCCGGCUCGGAAAACCCCAUCCGGAGCAAGACCAAAUAGAGGGACGAAAGGGUGCCCAGCCUUAUCCCUGGGUUAGUCGCUUGACCCCGAUAGUAAUGUCGGGGCGAGAUAGAUGGUCACCGUCCCGAUUUAGUCGGGAUACAGAAUUCGGCUUACAGGUUUACUUGGCCA
rnacentral:RNase_P_RNA from 1 species